AAGCCAGCCAAUGAAUAUGCUUAUCUGAAUGUGUUUCUGCAGAAAUUUAGAGAAAGCUGGCAAUAGGCAUGCCAUCCCAUGAGGCUUCAGCUCACGGAUGUCAGUGAGGUGCCUGAACAAGGCCCCAAGA